rnacentral:ncRNA from 1 species
GAGCGCCGUAUGAUUCGAAAGAAUCACGUACGGUGCGAAGGAGGGCGAAAAGGAGAGCUGACCAAGUCGUGUUGAAGACUCUCCUUAGCUAUUCCUAU